rnacentral:rRNA from 1 species
UACGGGGGGGGCAAGCGUUGUUCGGAAUUACUGGGCGUAAAGGGCUCGUAGGCGGCCAACUAAGUCAGACGUGAAAUCCCUCGGCUUAACCGGGGAACUGCGUCUGAUACUGGAUGGCUUGAGUUCGGGAGAGGGAUGCGGAAUUCCAGGUGUAGCGGUGAAAUGCGUAGAUAUCUGGAGGAACACCAAUGGCGAAGGCAGCUCGCUGGAACGGUACUGACGCUGAGGCGCGAAAGCGUGGGGAGCAAACAGG